rnacentral:rRNA from 1 species
UUAACUGGGGUAGUUUUUUUGUAAAAUCUGAGGUUGUAAAAGGCAUGUAAAGUGGGGUUAGGUCCUUUAGAUAAGGAUAAUUUGAGUGAGUUACUUUAGGGAUAACAGCGUAAUAGUCCUAGGGAGAUCGUAUCUAUGGGAUUGAUUGCGACCUCGAUGUUGAAUUAAAAGAUCAGUGUAGAGCAGGAGCUACAGGGUGAGGGUUUGUUCAACCUUUAAAUUUUUACAUGAUCAGAGUUCAGACCGGA